UGCGUAAGCCGACAGGUUAUCCGAAGUGAUUUCUGCUAAAGAAAUUUUGUUAGUCCUAGAAACACUAACGAAUAAGGGGUGGGCAAGUUCUGGUGUCAGCCGCCGCGGUAAAACCAGCACCUCAAGUGGUCAGGAUGAUUAUUGGGCCUAAAGCAUCCGUAGCCGGCUCUGUAAGUUUUCGGUUAAAUCUGUACGCUCAACGUACAGGCUGCCGGGAAUACUGCAUAGCUAGGGAGUGGGAGAAGUAGACGGUACUCGGUAGGAAGUGGUAAAAUGCUUUGAUCUAUCGAUGACCACCUGUGGCGAAGGCGGUCUACUAGAACACGUCCGACGGUGAGGGAUGAAAGCUGGGGGAGCAAACCGGAUUAGAUACCCGGGUAGUCCCAGCUGUAAACUAUGCAAACUCAGUGAUGCAUUGGCUCGUGGCCAAUGCAGUGCUGCAGGGAAGCCGUUAAGUUUGCCGCCUGGGAAGUACGUACGCAAGUAUGAAACUUAAAGGAAUUGGCGGGGGAGCAC
rnacentral:rRNA from 1 species